GGCAAGAUGGCCGAGUGGUCUAAGGCGUUGCGUUUAGGCUAUCUAAACAGUUCUACCGCAAUUUCACUUGUGAAGCGCAUGUUCGAAUCCUGCUCUUGUCA